AGAAUCAACGCCGGCGGCGUGCCUAACACAUGCAAGUCGAACGAGAAAGUGGAGCAAUCCAUGAGUAAAGUGGCGACCGGGUGAGUAACACGUGACUAACCUACCUUCAAGUGGGGGAUAACCUCGGGAAACCGAGGCUAAUACCGCAUAAUAUCGCAAGAUCAAAGCAGCAAUGCGCUGGAAGAGGGGUCGCGGCUGAUUAGCUAGUUGGCGGGUAACGCCCACAAGGCGAAGAUCGGUA
rnacentral:rRNA from 1 species